GGUUGGGCUGCGGCCCCCUGGCCGUCUGGAGAGCUGAUGGAGGUGGGGCGUGGACGGUGUCGAGAGCGGGGCUGGACUUGUGGGUUGUUGGUGAGGACUCCGUGUGUGCACACAUGCACACCCGCCACGUGGGGCGCAGGGCCCUGGGCCCCCAGAAAGAGCGCCCGGGUGACUGGGCUUCAGGGAGAACCCCACCGCACUCGAGGGGCUAGGUCCCACUGUGGGGUGCUCCUGCAGCUGUUCUCUCAACUGGCUCUGGCUUCGGGGACCCGUGGGCCGGGUGUCCCGAGAUCAGCUGGCCCACGUCCUUUCCCAGGAGGUGCCACCCCUCUGGGUGAGGGCAGGAUAGACCUCCAGGGUUCCGGAGGGCCUGCACGGACGCCCGGGCUGCCCCGCUGGACCACCCUCUGACGUCUGGGGGACUGGCGGGUCCUCGACACUACAGCUAUCUCCGCGCCCGGUGCCGGGACGGACGGAAGAGGGGCCACCCCGCUGCCCCAGGGAGGGUGGAGACCCAGGGAACUUGCUCCGGGAGGUUGGCCGGAGGUGGUCUGCGGGGGAGCGGGGCGGGGUUCCGGCCCUGGACCCCACACAUGAAGCCCCUUGGUCCCCCCAAACCUCGAUGGUAGGAUGAAGUUGUCCAGUCGUGUCUGACCGUUUGCGACCCCACAGGCUGUAGCCCACCAGGCUAGUCUGUCCAUGGGAUUCUCAUCCAGGCAAGAAUACUGGAGUGGGUUGCCAUGCCUUCCUCCAGGGUAUCUUCCUGACACAGGGAUUGAACCUGCAUCUCUUGCGUCGCC
ensembl:lncRNA